UGCGUAGGCGGAAUAUUAAGUCAGUGGUGAAAUCCUGCGGCUCAACCGUAGAACUGCCAUUGAUACUGAUAUUCUUGAAUGUAGUUGAGGUAGGCGGAAUGUGUAAUGUAGCGGUGAAAUGCUUAGAUAUUACACAGAACACCGAUUGCGAAGGCAGCUUACUAAACUAUGAUUGACGCUGAGGCACGAAAGCGUGGGGAGCGAACAGGAUUGGAUACCCUGGUAGUC
rnacentral:rRNA from 1 species